ACUCCACGGGAGGCAGCAGUGGGGAAUUUUGGACAAUGGGCGCAGCCUGAUCCAGCCAUGCCGCGUGAGUGAAGAAGGCCUUCGGGUUGUAAAGCUCUUUCAGCCGGGAAGAAAACGCAUGGGUUAAUACCCUGUGUGGUGACGGUACCGGAAUAAGAAGCACCGGCUAACUACGUGCCAGCAGCCGCGGUAAUACGUAGGGUGCGAGCGUUAAUCGGAAUUACUGGGCGUAAAGCGUGCGCAGCGGUUUUGUAAGUCUGUCGUGAAAUCCCCGGGCUCAACCUGGGAAUUGCGAUGGAGACUGCAAGGCUAGAAUCUGGCAGAGGGGGGUAGAAUUCCACGUGUAGCAGUGAAAUGCGUAGAGAUGUGGAGGAACACCGAUGGCGAAGGCAGCCCCCUGGGUCAAGAUUGACGCUCAUGCACGAAAGCGUGGGGAGCAAACAGGAUUAGAUACCCUGGUAGUCCACGCCCUAAACGAUGUCACUAGUUGUCGGGUUUUAAUUACUUGGCAACGCACUACGCGUGAAGUAGACCGCCUGGGGAGUACGGUCGCAAGAUUAAACUCAAAUGAUUGACGGA
rnacentral:rRNA from 1 species